AAUGCCCGAAAGGGUGACGAAGCGACGCCGCGUGAGUGAGGAAGGCCCUCGGGUUGUAAAGCUCUGUCAGGAGUUAAGAAAUGUAAGUGUGUUAAUACCACAUUUAUUUGACGAAGGCUCCAAAGGAAGCCACGGCUAACUCUGUGCCAGCAGCCGCGGCAAUACAGAGGUGGCAAGCGUUGUUCGGAAUUAUUGGGCGUAAAGAGCACGUAGGUGGGUUUGUAAGUCAGAUGUGAAAGCCUUCUGUUCAACGGAAGAAUUGCAUCUGAAACUACGAGUCUUGAGUAUAGGAGGGGAGAAUGGAACUUCUGGUGGAGCGGUGAAAUGCGUAGAUAUCAGAAGGAACGCCGGCGGCGAAAGCGAUUCUCUGGCCUAUUACUGACACUCAGUGUGCGAAAGCUAGGGGAGCAAACGGGAUUAGAUACCCCGGUAGUCCUAGCCGUAAACGAUGGGCACUAAGUAGAGGGG
rnacentral:rRNA from 1 species